rnacentral:rRNA from 1 species
AACAAACGCUGGCGGCGUGCCUAAUACAUGCAAGUCGAACGGGUAGCAAUACCAGUGGCGCACGGGUGAGGAAUACAUAGAUAAUCUGCCUUCGAGUCGGGGAUAACCAGUCGAAAGAUUGGCUAAUACCGGAUAAGACCACAAGAUCUGCGGAACUAGGGGUUAAAGGUUUUUCGCUUGAAGAUGAGUCUAUGCGAGAUUAGCUAGUUGGUGAGGUAAUGGCUCACCAAGGCGACGAUCUCUAACUGGUCUUAGAGGAUGAUCAGUCACACUGGAACUGAGACACGGUCCAGACUCCUACGGGAGGCAGCAGUAGGGAAUAUUGCGCAAUGGGGGAAACCCUGACGCAGCGACGCCGCGUGAGUGAUGAAGGCCUUCGGGUCGUAAAGUUCUGUCGUAUGGGAAUAACACAAUGAAUGUACCAUGCAAGAAAGGAUCGGCUAACUUCGUGCCAGCCGCCGCGGUAA